AUUGAACGCUGGCGGCAGGCCUAACACAUGCAAGUCGAGCGAGCGGCGGACGGGUGAGUAAUGUAUGGGGACUGCCCGAUAGAGGGGGAUAACUACUGGGAACGGUGGCUAAUACCGCAUACUAUCGGAUAACCCAUAUGGGAUUAGCUAGUAGGUGGGGUAAAGGCUCAACUAGGCGACGAUCUCUAGCGUGUCUGAGAGGAUGAUCAGCCCAGCUGUGACUACGACACGGACCAUCCUCCUACGGAGGCAGCAGUGGGAAAGAGUCCACAAUGGGCACACGCCUGAUGCAGCCAUGCCACGUGUAUAAAGAAGCCCGUAGGGUUGUAAGGUACUUUCAGCGGGGAGGCGUUACCCGCAGAAGAAGCCCCGGCUAACUCCGGGCCAGCAGCCGCGGUAAUAC
rnacentral:rRNA from 1 species